AGACAGCAGAGUGCUUAGAGGAGAGUGUGACACGGCACCAAGAGCAGACAUUUUAGAAGACAACGCCGCUGCUCUCCACAGACUGACAGAAGUACACCUUAAGCACCGGGCAAGGCAAACCACCUAAGAAUUCACAUGAAGACCCUAUUUCAGCUCAGACAGCAAACAGGUGGCAGUUACCACCUUUUCUCAGCUGGCAUCUCAGAAGAAACCAAAAGAAAUGUUUUGUUGGGAACCCACCGAAUUCUUUGAAAACACAGCAACCAAGCCUUCAGUGGCACCCAGCUACCUAGAAUUCAACUCUAUUUUUUCCUCUAAUAGCCUGCAGCCACCGAAACCACUGCAGCCACACGAGACCGCAGGACACUUCACCUGUCACCAUGCCACAGGCUUUCCCAAGUCUGUAAACACUACGGUAUAUCCAUAGAUUUAGAGAGGAGGAAGAGGCGUUGCAACCGCCAGCCAAGAAGAAAUAGCAGCUCAGAAACACAGGAAAAAGCUGAGUGCUACCAGGCCUGGCAAAACAGAAAGCAGAACCACGUCCUCUGAGAUGCAGGCUUUCUCAAUACUCCUGCUACCAGGAAGCAAAAGCGUGGAAUGCAGUCAGAUACAUUUGAUUCAUAAGAAGAUGAGCAACUCCUUACUGUUAAAGGUUUACACUUAUACUUGACACAGCAGAUUGAUCAACUUCCAGAAGUUUUGCAGUGUUUCACAACAACUUACACCUUCAAUAGUGCAAGGAACUUUGUUUUCUAUUUCAUAUGAACUAAUAUUACAGCAAAAUCAGUGCCAGAUCACCUUUCCUAUUCUUUUUUGGAAAACAAUACAGUAUUCCUUUCCUAGAGUUCUGCUGCAUUUCUCACACCCUGCUCCACUUCCUCUGAUCAUUCUAUCAUUUACCAGAACACUAUAGCUGAAAGGGGGAAAAAAAAGGAACAGGCAUCUCAAUACUCAUUAGAGAAACCAUGAACUCGUUAAACUUCAAUCCCCACCUACUUCUGCUUCUGUAGAAUCACUUUCUCUGCGCACCACGGUGUAAGAACUCACUGUUUUCGUUUUUACCAUCAGGAGAAGGGUAAAGGAGCAUACAGUUUGGUUACAGCUCCAGGAGAAUAGAAAAGCUGUGGUGCAACCUGCUUACAUCACCCUCACAUUUUUACUGCCCACGAGGGUAAGAGGAAGGAAAGAAGAGGAAAGAAACUGAAUAAAAGGGAACUUGUUUGCUCUGUGCCUUAACUCAUGGGCAGCGUUCUCACGCAUUUCUUUCUUCCCUGCUUUAGUUCAAAAACUUCAGCUUAACCACCGCAGCUCUCUCAGUGAAGAGGCACUCACCUGCCAGAAAACAGAAGCACUGGGGAAAAUAACCCUGACUCUAUGGAUCCUCAACAGCUGUGCUGAGAGCAGAGGGCAAAGGACAGCCAACUUCCCUUCGCACAAAGCUGCUCAACAUUCACACAGCACCUGCCUGUUGCAGACCCCCACCUUCCUCUCAAAGGCUACACGCUACAUGAAAGCACAUCUCUUAUCGCUUUAUUCCCCACAUACCCCGAAUUCCACCUUCCUCCAACUCCUCCUUGCCAAGAACACGCUCGGCACUGACCGAAACACCUCUAACUCCCUAAACUAAGGAGGGGAAGAGGAACGGUAACAACCACCCUCAGCUGCCACGACCUUCAGCUCUACACUGCACUUUGUUUUCCUCACAACAGUGAGGGACGUCGAAUGUUAGGCAACACCGAGAGGGCUAAAUCACCUCGGGAAGCCCGAGCUGCUUCUCGCACACGAGACGCAGACAACGAGACGCUCACAAGGGACGACCGCGACCACACCGCGUCCCGACCCCACGCGGCGCCCCCCGCGCAGGGCGCAUGCGCGCUGCCCACCCUUCGCCCACCGCCGGGCAACGGCCAGAGCCCCACGCAUGCGCGCUGCACGCUGCGCACAACCGGAACCGCCGCCGCCACCACCACCCCCUCAGCCGACCCCCGCGCCAGCUACUCACCAUGUACCAGGUCCCCAAAAUUAUGGUGCCGGUCCGCACAUGGCAGCAACCACAACAGCGAGUACUGUAAAAACGGUCGCGGCUUCGCUUGAACGUCAUACUGGCAGCUGCUCCGCCGCACUCCCUCCGCCGGCCGCCUUCCUCCGGCCUCGCCGCUCGCCGUCUCCCAGCACUUCCCCUCAGCUGAGGGCCGUAAAACCCCCGCUCUCGCGUCACCGCCGUUCUGGCCAAUCGGAUGUCGACAGCGGGGGCGCGAAGGGGUGUGCUCGAGGGAGGGCCUACGGGUUGCCGCGGCAACAGCGGAUUGGCAGCGCCGCGGGCCAAUCGCAGUGCCCUAAGUGCAACGCCCUGCCGUUCACCUGCUUGGCGGCGGGGUGGGGCUCACCUGAGGCGAGGUGCGGUAGGGGCUGUCCGGCGUCCGCCAUCUUGGGGAGGAGCUGCCCGCCCUCACCUCAGCGCUGAGGCAGCCUGCCGUGGCGGUGGGUGCUGUGUUGUCUGUGGCUGGUGCUUGGGGCGCUUCCUCCUGAGGACCAGCGGGGACAGCCAUAAAACAUUACGAAGAAAAUUUUGCAGACAGCCCUUUGUUAUAGAGGGAAAGCGAAGUCACUUCAGCGGACCUCAAAGCACCCAAAUCCCACACAUUCUACUGAAAUUCAGCUAGUGUUGUUGCAAGUCUAAUUCACUUAAACCCUUUUGCUGCUCUUUUAGAGCAAAUCCUCGGUAUUAAUAUUGUGCAUUACGUGGUGAGAGGAUGCAUGAGCACAGUGUGAAUGGAAGAGUUGAGCUUGAGUUCACACAUGCUUUAAUUUUUUAUGAGUCCCACAUCCCUGUUCCUCGGUGGUGACAACCCUGCUAGUCCCACUGAAAGCUGCAGGUGCUACCAAAUGCAUGUGUUAAUUAGAAGUAAUGUAUGUAAAUUCUGAGUGCUGCAUGUGUAUGUGUGAGAGAUAAGGAGUGCUCCUGUUCCCAUAGAGAGGGGCACCCGUAACCUUCCCCUGACCCGAGCACAGCCGCGGGUUUGCAGACCUGCUCUGUUGAUACAGAUACGUACACGGUUUAUUUUAACCUUAGUGCAGCUGCAAGUAUUUCCUUCUUGGCUGUAUACAACUGUUUGGAGACACUCGUAGAACAUAAAUAUUUGCUGUGUGUAUAUACACCAAGACGUAUGUUAUCUGUCAGUAUUAAUACUGGUUGCUCGUUCUGAACAAUGAGAAGGUAACAAGGGUGACUAGUUCUCCCGUUGAUACAUUCCAGAUCCUACAAUUAACACGUUUUAUUGUUUGAGCUACUUAGUCUAUUUUUAAACAUGAACUGUUGCUGAGUUGUUUGAAAUGAUUUACUUAAAGGCUUUAGAACUGACCUUUUUUUAUUUUAAAUCCCCCAUGUUCCAUAAUCGGUGUUUUUCUUCCUUAGGGCACAUUUCAUUUUUGAAUAAACAUGUUGUAAGUGCUGCUAAGACUGUUCUAAUGAUCCUGUUAUAAACUAUUGUUUGUUUCUUUAGUGCUCCUAAUGUUCCCCGUGCACAGAUGCUUAAUUAUCAACAGACUGACUUAACGUAACAAAACUGGACUGAUUUUAAUCAAUAUACAUAUGGCAUGUUGGGAAGCCUAAGCCAACUGUUUCUGCAACAUUCACAACUGAUUCCACUGUUCCUGCAGAGCAGAGAGGCUCUCCCUCCCAUAGGUCUCUCCAUACGUGAGAGAGGACUUCAAAGGAUGAGAAUGGGUCAGAAGAGUUUCUUGCUUGAGUUAGGUCAUCCACUUGGAAGCACCCACAUCCCACUCCCAAUUUAAAGAAGUGUGAUGGUUUGUGAGGGCAAGUUCUUGAAUGAAGAUCUUCCACAGCUGGAAACUUUGCUUUUGCUAUUCUUGCUGGCAGCUCUCGUGUCAGGCUCAGAUCUUCAGGGCUAUUUUCAUGAGAUGAAAGAAAUCUUAAUUAAGUGUUCAUAUCUUUGUCAGCCAGACUCGGAAUGAGAACUGAUGCAUUUCCCAUGAGCUUCACCACUUGUUAUACUCUGCAGACAACAAAGAUACUGAGAGGAAUAAUGUGAAUGUAAUUUAACAUCGCAAAGCAGCUUUCCACAGCUGGAUAGGUUGAUGUGGAACUGUUGAGUGGGGAAAAAAAAAUCUCUCUAUUAUCUCCUCCCCUCACAAGAAAAAAAAAAAAAAAAAAGAGCAUUUAGAGAAUGAUUGCAUUGUUUCCUGUAAAAUGGAGAAGAGAGGAUAGGUUAAUAACUUCAGUCCUACUCCCUGUGAAAGAUACCAGUUUCUCCAUGCCACAGGCAGUCCAGACGACCUCAGGGAAGACACUUCCUUCUCUUUGAGCCUUAAUUCUCUUCUUUUGCUAGUUCAAAGAAGAUUUGUGAGCCAAAAUGUAGUAAUAAUUCUGAAGGGCUCAGCUCAGCUUGCAGUCAUGAAUAUCAAUAUCAAUAUCAAGAGAGACAGAAAGAUCUUUUCUUCCCAAAUAGCAAAAAGACUUGGCACAGUGGGAGCAAAUUGUCCACUUCUUACAACAGUAAGAGUAGAAGGCCCAAGACAUACCAGCUAGUGAUAAGCAGCUCCAAAGGAUUCCAGUUCCCUUACAAGCACGGUGCUUAACUCCUUCCCUCCAUACAUGCUGAGAGGGAAGGAGUGUUGAGAUCAUGGUGUUACCCUCAUCACCUCAUUACCCAGGCUGGUUAAGUGUUCAAAGUCUACGUCUAGACAGAAAAUUUUAAUUCUGUCUUGAGAGUGCAUGGCAAUGUUUUGCCAAACAUAAAGUAUUGUUUUUGAAUAAUCAUAUUCAUUUCGUUCUGUUUGAAUAUAAUCAUACUCAAUAUAAUAGCCAGCAGGACAGCUAGGGUCAUGUAAAUAAGGCACCAGGUUGCAUUCUCCUUCCUGCUCCUCUGUGAUUCAUUUUCUUCAAAAAAAAAAGAGUCCAAUGCCUGUAAGGUGCCAACACAGUACAGCACGGAGACUGUUCUAUGCAGAUUUUUGAGAUUCCAUUUUGUUCCAUCUUUUGUUCCAUUCUCAAUCUACCCAUGGUUAAAAGAUGUGUAGAGUUAUACCGUAGCCAUUAUUUCUUGACUGCCGUGCACUGAGUUAUUGUUAGGCUGCGUAUGAAAAAUGAAGUGCUGUUCUCCUCCAGCGUUUUCUGUGCGUGUUUGAAUAAGGGAAAACCUGCACACCAUGGUCUGGUAAUCUUACGUAGCCUCCAUGGGCAUGGUUCAUACCACUUUAUAAUGAAAACACUGUGCUGUUUGGGGCUGGGGAAACUGAGGAACAGUGAGAUGAAGUGAUGUCACCGAUACCACAAAGGCUGGUGAAAGUGAUAGGAGCAACAAGCAAGUCUCCUGUCCUGUGGAUGUGAAAAUACCUGGGCUGAGAGCAUGGAUUGGCUUUUUGCUUCCUUAAAGAUGAUACGAGGGUAUUGGAAUAAAAGCAAAGCGUUGACAUGAGGAAAAAAACAACCUGAAAUAUAUUAGGUGGGAGAAAAACUUUCCUGAUCGUGACUCACACAGUGAAAUCCUGGGUAUCCUGACAUCAGCACUACCAAAUGUUACCACCCUUCUUCUCCAAGAUGGGUUCUGCUAGAAGAAAACAGACAAAUCCAAGCAUUCCGUGAUUUCUUGUAGAAGAGAGAAGAAUGUAUCACAAUGAGUUUUGUGGUUACUGGAUUUUACUUUAUUGAACUAAACAACAUCACUUUUGGAUCUCUAAAGUAACGUUCCAACCAUCUCUACUUUUUGUUUCAGUUGAUUGCUGUUAACAAUAUGAAUUAUCUGUUACUACAGAUACGUUCCAAACCUUUUAACUUCUAACAGAUGGUUCAGAAAGUCAGGGCUAGAAAAGCAGCUAAAAUAUGACAGCAUGAUGUAAAACUUUUAUUAACACAAGCGUGUUUCUGGGUUACUUGUACUCUCGGGCUUUCUUAAUAUCAAUAACUAAAAAAAGUUGCCAUAUUCAUUUGCGGAAUCAGUUUGCUAACCCAGAAGAGUGAUAGUUCAUUUAAAUCAGCCUUCAUACAGCUGAGGAGAAAUAAAAAUGUCUGAAAAUAACCUACAGCGUUUUCCUCAAUCUAGACCUGUACUUGCAAGUUCAGAUAUCUCAGUGGUUUCCCAUGUCAAGAAAUGAGCACUGGCUCUCUCUGCAAAUGGGGCAUGUCCUUUACUUACUGGCAGUCCCCUUCUCCCAGCCCUGAGCCCAGACGUGCCUCUCUGUGGGUGUUGGAAGGAUGGAGAGGUGCCUGGGAAUCUGCAUGCUCUCUGCUCACAGAAGGAGGAAGCAUUACAUGGUGGUUUGUUGCUUUUUUAGCACUGCCUCUCCGAAUUGCUUUCCAGUUUGGGACUGUGGGAAAGAGUUCCAGGAGUAGAGUGGCAGGCAGCUGAUGCACUCAGAAGUGCCCGAUGAAGCCCUUCGUGUCACUGUGGCUUACAGUGCUCAGAACCGCCGCCAAAGGACAAUAGUGCACAUGGGCAGAAAUCAAAGUAUGACAUAAAUUUGUGAAGUUUCUAGUAGUUUUUAAUGGGGCAGUCCAAGGGUCAGUUACUGUUACAGUGCCAUUUUCCUGAGGAGACACAGGGAGUUUAUUUCGGAGCCCAAUGGCACUGCAGUGACCUUCAGCAGGGAAGGACACUUCUGUCACAGAUAGGAACAUCUGCAGAGCAGAAUGUCAGGGGUGGCACAUGCUGGAAAGUUCUGUUUACCUUGAAAAGACCCCUGAGUCCAAGUCAGUACUAUCACAGAAGGACAAGACUUCCCAUAUCUGAUCUUUGUAGACUGUAACUUUAGCCCUCUCUCUUCACAAAGAGUUAUUUUGGCAUUAUACAGCAAGCCUUUGUUGUUAGCAUAACAAAUAAAUUAUUUUC